GUGGCGACCGGGUGAGUAACACGUGACUAACCUACCUCUUAGUGGGGAAUAACUCCGGGAAACCGGGGCUAAUACCGCAUAACAUCGCAAGAUCAAAGCCGAAAGGCGCUGGGAGAGGGGGUCGCGGCUGAUUAGCUAGUUGGCGGGGUAACGGCCCACCAAGGCGAAGAUCGGUAUCCGGCCUGGGAGGGCGCACGGACACACUGGAACUGAAACACGGUCCAGACUCCUACGGGAGGCAGCAGUGGGGAAUUUUGCGCAAUGGGGGAAACCCUGACGCAGCAACGCCGCGUGGAGGAUGAAGUCCCUUGGGACGUAAACUCCUUUCGACCAAGACGAUAAUGACGGUACUGGUGGAAGAAGCACCGGCUAACUCUGUGCCAGCAGCCGCGGUAAUACAGAGGGUGCGAGCGUUGUUCGGAAUUAUUGGGCGUAAAGGGCGCGUAGGCGGUGCCACAAGUCACUUGUGAAAUCUCCGGGCUUAACUCGGAGCCUGCAGGCGAAACUGUGGUGCUGGAGUAUGGGAGAGGUGCGUGGAAUUCCCGGUGUAGCGGUGAAAUGCGUAGAUAUCGGGAGGAACACCUGUGGCGAAAGCGGCGCACUGGACCAUAACUGACGCUGAGGCGCGAAAGCUAGGGGAGCAAACAGGAUUAGAUACCCUGGUAGUCCUAGCCCUAAACGAUGAUUGCUUGGUGUAGCAGGUACCCAAUCCUGCUGUGCCGCAGCUAACGCGAUAAGCAAUCCGCCUGGGGAGUACGGUCGCAAGGUUGAAACUCAAAGGAAUUGACG
rnacentral:rRNA from 1 species